GAUGAACGCUGGCGGCGUGCCUAAUACAUGCAAGUCGAGCGAACGGACGAGAAGCUUGCUUCUCUGAUGUUAGCGGCGGACGGGUGAGUAACACGUGGAUAACCUACCUAUAAGACUGGGAUAACUUCGGGAAACCGGAGCUAAUACCGGAUAAUAUUUUGAACCGCAUGGUUCAAAAGUGAAAGACGGUCUUGCUGUCACUUAUAGAUGGAUCCGCGCUGCAUUAGCUAGUUGGUAAGGUAACGGCUUACCAAGGCAACGAUGCAUAGCCGACCUGAGAGGGUGAUCGGCCACACUGGAACUGAGACACGGUCCAGACUCCUACGGGAGGCAGCAGUAGGGAAUCUUCCGCAAUGGGCGAAAGCCUGACGGAGCAACGCCGCGUGAGUGAUGAAGGUCUUCGGAUCGUAAAACUCUGUUAUUAGGGAAGAACAUAUGUGUAAGUAACUGUGCACAUCUUGACGGUACCUAAUCAGAAAGCCACGGCUAACUACGUGCCAGCAGCCGCGGUAAUACGUAGGUGGCAAGCGUUAUCCGGAAUUAUUGGGCGUAAAGCGCGCGUAGGCGGUUUUUUAAGUCUGAUGUGAAAGCCCACGGCUCAACCGUGGAGGGUCAUUGGAAACUGGAAAACUUGAGUGCAGAAGAGGAAAGUGGAAUUCCAUGUGUAGCGGUGAAAUGCGCAGAGAUAUGGAGGAACACCAGUGGCGAAGGCGACUUUCUGGUCUGUAACUGACGCUGAUGUGCGAAAGCGUGGGGAUCAAACAGGAUUAGAUACCCUGGUAGUCCACGCCGUAAACGAUGAGUGCUAAGUGUUAGGGGGUUUCCGCCCCUUAGUGCUGCAGCUAACGCAUUAAGCACUCCGCCUGGGGAGUACGACCGCAAGGUUGAAACUCAAAGGAAUUGACGGGGACCCGCACAAGCGGUGGAGCAUGUGGUUUAAUUCGAAGCAACGCGAAGAACCUUACCAAAUCUUGACAUCCUUUGACAACUCUAGAGAUAGAGCCUUCCCCUUCGGGGGACAAAGUGACAGGUGGUGCAUGGUUGUCGUCAGCUCGUGUCGUGAGAUGUUGGGUUAAGUCCCGCAACGAGCGCAACCCUUAAGCUUAGUUGCCAUCAUUAAGUUGGGCACUCUAAGUUGACUGCCGGUGACAAACCGGAGGAAGGUGGGGAUGACGUCAAAUCAUCAUGCCCCUUAUGAUUUGGGCUACACACGUGCUACAAUGGACAAUACAAAGGGCAGCGAAACCGCGAGGUCAAGCAAAUCCCAUAAAGUUGUUCUCAGUUCGGAUUGUAGUCUGCAACUCGACUACAUGAAGCUGGAAUCGCUAGUAAUCAUAGAUCAGCAUGCUACGGUGAAUACGUUCCCGGGUCU
rnacentral:rRNA from 1 species